rnacentral:misc_RNA from 1 species
GAUGAAGAACGCAGUGAAAUGCGAUAAGUAAUGUGAAUUGCAGAAUUCAGUGAAUCAUCGAAUCUUUGAACGCACAUUGCGCCCGCCAGUAUUCUGGCGGGCAUGCCUGUUCGAGCGUCAUUUCAACCAUCAAGCCCCCGGCUUGUGUUGGGGACCUGCGGCUGCCGCAGGCCCUGAAAACCAGUGGCGGGCUCGCUAGUCACUCCGAGCGUAGUAAUACAUCUCGCUCAGGGCGUGCUGCGGGUUCCGGCCGUUAAAAAGCCUUAUUUACCCAAGGUUGACCUCGGAUCAGGUAGGAAGACCAGCUGAACUUAAGCAUAUCAAUAAGCGGAGGA